UUAACAGUCCUUUUCAGGACUACCAAAUCAUUCACGAAAGAGUUG
rfam:Culex pipiens quinquefasciatus supercont3.2703 genomic scaffold, whole genome shotgun sequence.